GACGAAGGGGGCUAGCGUUGUUCGGAAUUACUGGGCGUAAAGGGUGCGUAGGCGGUUUGUUAAGUCUGCUGUGAAAUCCCCGGGCUCAACUCGGGAAUGGCAGUGGAUACUGGCAAGCUAGAGUGCGGUAGAGGGUAGUGGAAUUCCCGGUGUAGCAGUGAAAUGCGUAGAGAUCGGGAGGAACACCAGUGGCGAAGGCGGCUACCUGGACCAGCACUGACACUGAAGCACGAAAGCGUGGGGAGCAAACAGG
rnacentral:rRNA from 1 species